rnacentral:rRNA from 1 species
AUUAGUAGAGAAGCGUGUGAGCCAGCUGCCAAGAAAAGCCGCUAUUGCUUCAUAAGUACCCGUACCGUAAACGACACGGGUGGAUGAGGAGAGAAUCCUAAGGCCGGCGGGAGAAGUGUUGUUAAGGAACUCGGCAAAAUGACUCCGUAACUUCGGGAGAAGGAGUGCCACAGAGAUGUGGCCGCAGAGAAAUGGCCCAAGCAACUGUUUAGCAAAAACACAGGUCUAUGCAAAACCGAAAGGUGAGGUAUAUGGGCUGACGCCUGCCCGGUGCUGGAAGGUUAAGAGGAGAGGUUAGAGCAAUCGAAGCUUUGAAUUUAAGCCCCAGUAAACGGCGGUCGUAACUGUAACGGUCCUAAGGUAGCGAAAUUCCUUGUCGGGUAAGUUCCGACCCGCACGAAAGGCGUAAUGAUUUGGGCACUGUCUCAACAACACACCCGGUGAAAUUGAAAUACCAGUGAAGAUGCUGGUUACCUGCGCCAGGACGGAAAGACCCCAUGGAGCUUUACUCCAGUUUGAUACUGGGAUUCGGUACUGUCUGUACAGGAUAGGUGGGAGGCUAGGAAAUGGUGACGCCAGUUGCCAUGGAGCCAACCUUGGGAUACCACCCUUACAGUACUGGGUUUCUAACCUGCAGCCGUAACCCGGCUGGGGGACAAUGUCUGACGGGGAGUUUGACUGGGGCGGUCGCCUCCGAAAGAGUAUCGGAGGCGCUCAAAGGUUCCCUCAGAACGGUUGGAAACCGUUCGAAGAGUGCAAAGGCAGAAGGGAGCUUGACUGCGACACCGACGGGUGGAGCAGAUACGAAAGUAGGACUUAGUGAUCCGGUGGUAUAAAGUGGGAUUGCCAUCGCUCAACGGAUAAAAGCUACCCUGGGAUAACAGGCUUAUCACUCCCAAGAGUUCACAUCGACGGAGUGGUUUGGCACCUCGAUGUCGGCUCAUCGCAUCCUGGAGCUGUAGCAGGUUCCAAGGGUUGGGCUGUUCGCCCAUUAAAGCGGUACGCGAGCUGGGUUCAGAACGUCGUGAGACAGUUCGGUCCCUAUCCGGCGUGGGCGUAGGAUAUUUGAGAGGAGCUGUCCUUAGUACGAGAGGACCGGGAUGGACAAACCUCUGGUGUAUCUGUUGUUUUACCAAAGGCAUGGCAGAGUAGCCAAGUUUGGCAGGGAUAAACGCUGAAGGCAUCUAAGCGUGAAGCCCCCCUCAAGAUAAGAUAUCCCAUCUUCGGAGUAAGACCCCUUGAAGACUACAAGGUUGAUAGGCUUUGUGUGUAAGUGCGGUAACGCACUCAGCUGAGAAGUACUAAUAGGUCGAGGACUUAACAA